rnacentral:tRNA from 1 species
AGGGUUGUGGCUCAGUGGUAAAGCAAUUGCCUAGCAAGCACAAGGCACUGGGUUCAAUCCCCAGCACCAAUA